AACCUGGUUGAUCCUGCCAGUAGUCAUAUGCUUGUAUUAAAGAUUAAGCCAUGCAUGUCUAAGUAUAAACACGUUUGUACUGUGAAACUGCAUAUGGCUCAUUACAACAGUUAUAGUUUAUUUGACAUUGAAAUGUUACACGGAUAACCGUAGUAACCUAGGGCUAAUACGUGACAAAAUUUCCGUUCUUCGGAAAGUGCAUAUUAGCUUAAAACCAAUUUUGGUUGAAAGAUAAUAUUUGUCGGAUCGCGUUGGUUCUGCCAGCGACAUGUCAUUCAAGUUUCUGCCCUAUCAGCUUGACGGUAGGUUAUUGGCCUACCGUGGCGGUAACGGGUAACGGGGAAUUUUGGUUCGAUUCCGGAGAGGCAGCCUGAGAAACGGCUACCACAUCCACGGGAGGCAGCAGGUGCGCAAAUUACUCAAUGUAGACCCUACGAAGUAGUAACAAUACAUAACGAUCAGCGGCCUUUUGGUUGCUAAUUCGGAAUGAGAACAAUUUAAAACCCUUAUCGAUUAUCAAGCGGAGGGCAAGCCUGGUGCCAGCAGCCGCGGUAAUACCAGCUCCGCUAGUGUAUACUAAAGUUGUUGCUGUUAAAAAGCUCGUAGUUGGAUUUCAGGGAGAUCGACAUGGCCCGGAAGUGUUUACUCCCGCGUGCCAAGGCUCUGCCGCGUCGAUCUCUCUUACUUCAGGAACGUCGGUCUGACCAUUAACUUGGUUGGGUCGUUGGGCCUGAUCUUUUACUCUGAGAAAAUUAAAGUGCUCAAAGCAGGCAAUCGCCUGAAUGCAUUAGCAUGGAAUAAUAAAACAAGACUUUGGCACCGUCCGCUCGCGGUCGGGAGUUUUGUUGGUUUUGGGCCAGAGUAAUGAUUGAUAGGAACAAUUGGGGGUGCUAGUAUCGCCGGGCUAGAGGUAAAAUUCUUUGAUUCCGGUGAGACUAACUUAUGCGAAAGCAUUCACCAAGUGUGUUUUCUUUAAUCAAGAACUAAAGUUGGGGGAUCGAAGACGAUCAGAUACCGUCGUAGUCCCAACCAUAAACGAUGUCGACUAAGUAUUGGGCUAAGUAAUUUCCUCAGAACUUUGUGAGAAAUCAAAGUUUUCGGACUCAGGGGGAAGUAUGCUCGCAAGAGUGAAACUUAAAGGAAUUGACGGAAUAGCACCACAAGAUGUGGAGCUUGCGGCUUAAUUUGAUUCAACACGGGAAAACUUACCAGGUCCAGACAUAGUGAGGAUUGACAGAUUCAAGUUCUUUCUUGAUUCUAUGCAUGGUGGUGCAUGGCCGUUCUUAGUUGGUGGAGUGAUCUGUCUGGUUAAUUCCGAUAACGAACGAGACCUCAGCCAUCUAACUAGCUGUCACUAUGGAAAAUAGUGCUCGACUCAGGUCGAGUUCAGCUUCUUAGAGGGACAAUCUGUGUUCAGCAGAUGGAAGAUUGAGGCAAUAACAGGUCAGUGAUGCCCUUAGAUGCUCUGGGCUGCACGCGCGCUACAAUGACGCACGCAACGAGUUCCUUGCUCGAAAGAGCUGGGCAAUCUUUAAUGUGCGUCCAAGUAGGGAUAGAUGAUUGUAAUUUUUCAUCUUGAACAAGGAAUAUCUAGUAAACGCAAGUCAUCAACUUGCAUUGAUUACGUCCCUGCCAUUUGUACACACCGCCCGUCGCUUCUACCGAUUGAAUUACUGGGUGAACUGGAUGGAUUGGACUUGGUUUCCGAACCAUGUUUUAGAAGUCCCGUGAACCCAGUAAUUUAGAGGAAGGAAAAGUCGUAACAAGGCUUCCGUAGGUGAACCUGCGGAAGGAUC
rnacentral:rRNA from 1 species